UUGGGGUUCUGAAUCAAGCAAAUCGGGUGGUCUAAUCGACAUACGCGAUUACAAGGAAGUAGCAACAGCUAAACUUACAACCAAACAAAACCCAAGUCUCAAAUGGUGGCUGCUGGUGGUUUAUAUAGGUGGGGGGGGGCAGCCAAGAGGCGUAGGGGGUGUAAACCCUAACUUAGAAUGGGCACCUAGUGGGCUGAACUAGAUACAAGGGCCUCAGCCCC
rnacentral:lncRNA from 1 species